CGUAGGGUGCGAGCGUUAAUCGGAAUUACUGGGCGUAAAGCGUGCGCAGGCGGUUCGUUGUGUCGGUGGUGAAAGCCCCCGGGCUUAACCUGGGAAUGGCCAUGGAAACUGGCGAACUGGAGUGUGGCAGAGGGGGGUGGAAUUCCGCGUGUAGCAGUGAAAUGCGUAGAGAUGCGGAGGAACACCGAUGGCGAAGGCAGCCCCCUGGGCUAGCACUGACGCUCAGGCACGAAAGCGUGGGGAGCAAACAGGAUUAGAUACCCUGGUAGUCCACGCCCUAAACCAUGUCAACUGGGUGUUCGGGAAGCGAUUUCUGAGUACCGUAGCUAACGCGUGAAGUUGACCGCCUGGGGAGUACGGCCGCAAGGUUA
rnacentral:rRNA from 1 species